GAUGAACGCUGGCGGCGUGCCUAAUACAUGCAAGUCGAGCGAACAGACGAGAGUGCUUGCACUCUCUGACGUUAGCGGCGGACGGGUGAGUAACACGUGGGUAACCUACCUAUAAGACUGGGAUAACUUCGGGAAACCGGAGCUAAUACCGGAUAAUAUUUAGCUUCGCAUGAAGCAAUAGUGAAAGACGGUUCUGCUGUCACUUAUAGAUGGACCCGCGGUGUAUUAGCUAGUUGGUGAGGUAACGGCUCACCAAGGCAACGAUACAUAGCCGACCUGAGAGGGUGAUCGGCCACACUGGGACUGAGACACGGCCCAGACUCCUACGGGAGGCAGCAGUAGGGAAUCUUCCGCAAUGGACGAAAGUCUGACGGAGCAAUGCCGCGUGAGUGAAGAAGGUUUUCGGAUCGUAAAACUCUGCUGUAAGGGAAGAACAAGUACGUUAGUAACUGAACGUACCUUGACGGUACCUUACCAGAAAGCCACGGCUAACUACGUG
rnacentral:rRNA from 1 species